AUGUCAGCCAGUCCUGAAACAGUAAACCCCUCGGUUCGCACAAAGUGCCGUCCAGCCUAUAUACAAGAUUAUGAGGUGGACUUGCAGAGCUUCCAUAAAACCGUGUUACCAGUUAGUACAAGAGAACAACCAGUGGAGUCAUCUGAUGACGAUUACUCUUCGCCACAGGUUGGAGCAUCUGCUGCAAAGCCUAAGAGAGCACAUGGUUUACCCACCAUUUCUUCCCCGUCGAGGCUGACGGUCAGGGAUAAGCAUUGUGACCAUCCACGUCUUCUGCAGCAGCACAUUUCCAGUCCUGCCUACCAGUCAUCACCACAAUAUCCAAACCGACAGCUACAGUCUGAAUACGGUGCAGAGUUCGUUCCCCUUGGUGAUGAAGGUGAUGGAUACCAGAGUGACAGAUCCGAUGCUAGUUCCCUAAAGUUACAAAGGAUCUCAGAGGAGAAUUUAAAGCUUCGUGAAACACAGAAGGCCAUCCAAGCUGAUCUUAAACGAAUUAAGACCGCCAAAGAUGAGCUGAUCCAGCUUUUAGACAGAGCCUGUAGUCUCCAAAAGCCUUUAUCUAUGUCCAACACCCGUUCUGAUUAUCCAUCAGUUAAAUUCCACGAUGAAGCAUAUGCAGAUGAUGAAGACUGGCCAGAGCCUCCUCCACCCAUUUCAUACGAUGAGCCAGAAAAUAUCAAUCAGUGCGGCAGGCAAAGGAUUAAGAGCACUACAAGAGCCACACCAACAAUCACUCCUAGACUCACUUCUGUUGAAAAGACUAGGGAUUUCGGCUAUCCAAGUUCAUAUGGUAACCAGUUUAGGUAUGGCCAGUAUCCUGCACGACAGAUAGGUCCUCCAAAUGCACAUGAACAACCAGGAAGUCUUUAUCCUGAACAACACAGGACAGUUUCCUAUAAUGCGUCACCUCCCAUGGCAUCUGUGGAUCUGACAGAGAAAUAUUACAAAGGUCCCUCGCCCACCAUUCCUUACUUCUGCACCAAAGACCCAAGUGAGUUUGCUCGAUUAAAAAUAGCCUUGGAAAAUCUUCUGCCACCUGAUAGUACUGAGAUGUUCAAAUAUCAAGUACUGGUUAACCACUUGAAAUUAGAAGAUGCUUGUCUAAUAGCAGACUCCUUCUUGCACUCCCCUACACCUUAUCGAGACACCAUGUUGGCCCUGAAUGAGCGGUUCGGUCAGCCUCACCAAGUAGCAUUAAGACGGAUUGCCACUAUUCUUGAUUCACCUGAUAUAAGCCGCAAUGACCUUUCAGCCUUUGAGAAGUUCUCUCUUCAAGUGCAGUCUCUAGUUGGGCUGCUUAAGACUUUAGGCCAGACAGGGAGCGUUGAGUUGUAUUGUGGGUCGCAUGUUGCACGCCUUCUCAAUAAGUUGCCACCUGAAAGACGGGCUGAUUUCCGCCGCCACAUGUUACAUCGGCCUGGGGUGACAUACUCAUUGGUAGAUCUGGCAGAAUGGCUGAAAUAUGAGUCUUGGUGCCAAAGCUAUGAUGAUCAAACUGCCAAGGGAGAAAGUAGAGCCAAACGAGAUUUCCGAGUAGCUCCACGAGCACGCCAAACCACUGCCACAGUACUGACUGGGUCUGGAAAUAGUGUUGAUGUGAGAGCCACUGCAAAUUCUCCUGCCAAGGUUGAUGAGAAAGCUAAAGGUAGGCCCAUGGUAUAUUGCUCUUACUGUCAGAACUCUGAACAUGCUUUCAGUCAGUGCCCUCAAAUUCCGACCCUCACCAAAGAUCAACUCUCAGAGUGGAUACGAUCCAAUAGGAGAUGCUGGCGUUGUGGUCUUGCCCAUCAGGCUGCCCAUUGUGGUCUAAAGAAACCAUGUCCACUUUGUCAAAGGAAGCAUCUACGAAUCCUCCAUGAAGUAAAUGAGAGGCCUGUCACAGUGUCAUCCAAAACCGAGGCUUGCCUAGUUAGUUCAGCGACACAGACACUUUACCUGAACAAACCAGUCAGCAGUAAUAAAGUUUUGCUCAAGAUUGUCAGAGUACUCCUACAUCAUGGCAGUUGCACAUUAGACACAUUUGCAAUCCUUGAUGACGGUUCUGAGCGUACCAUGCUUCUGCCAGAUGCAGUACGAAAACUUGGCUUGAGAGGUACUGAAGAAAGCUUAGCUCUGAGAACAAUCCGUCAUGAUGUGCAAACCCUUGAAGGGGCUUCAGUCUCAUUCCACAUUUCUCCAUACUACAAUCCAAAGAAGCGAUAUCUGAUAUCCAGAGCCUUUACUGCACCACAGCUUGAUCUCAUUGACCACUCGUACCCAAUAGCUAAGCUGCAAAGGCAGUACAAACAUUUGGCUGGACUACCAUUGCAGAGCUUUGAAAAGGCCAAACCUCUCAUCCUUGUUGGCGCAGAUCAAACUCACAUGAUCACACCAAUUGAGCCGGUAAGACUUGGUCCACCUGGUGGCCCCGCUGCAAUAAGAACCAAACUAGGCUGGACACUGCAGGGCCCUACCAGCCUGUUAGAGCAGCGACUCAAGCCAAAGGAGUGUCUCCACAUAUCCCUUCCUCUUAGCACCACAGAAUUGUGCAAGAAUGUUAAUAGGCUGUGGCAAGUGGAUGUUUUGCCCUUUCGGAAUGAAACGGAGUGCACAAGGUCAAAGCAGGACCAAAGGGCCAUCGAACUGCUGGAAGCCAAAACAAUUCGCAUAAAGGUGGAUGGAAUACGCCGGUAUGCAACACCCUUGUUACGUAAAGGUGACAUGCCCCAUCUUCACGCCACUAUGGAAGCAGUCAUGCCACGCCUACGAAGUACUGAGAGGAAACUUGCCAGAGACCCGCAACAAGCUGAUGCCUAUUCCUCCGAAAUCCAGAAAUUGGUUCAGUCAGGAGCAAUCAGAAUGCUCAGUCCAGAAGAAAGAGAAGGUGGUGGUGAGUGCUGGUUUAUUCCACAUCACAUGGUGCACCAUAAUGGCAAGAAUCGUGUGGUGUUUGAUUGCUCAUUUCAGUUUAAUGGUCUCAGCUUAAAUGAUUCACUCCUCGCUGGCCCCAUCUUGGGUUCAUCUCUCCUUGGGGUCUUACUCAGAUUCCGUGAACAUACAGUCGCCAUCAGUGCGGAUAUCCGGGGCAUGUUCCACCAGGUCCGCCUUCUUCCUGAAGAUAGAUCACUUCUUCGGUUUAUCUGGCGUGACUCCAGGGAAAAGGGCACCCCUGAUGUCUUUGAAUGGCAGGUUCUGCCAUUUGGGGCAACGUGCAGCCCCUGCUGUGCAACCUUUGCCUUACAACAGCAUGUAAGAGACCAUAGCCAACCGGGUGAUGAUGUAAGGUUCUCCAUAGAACGAUGCUUUUAUGUUGACAAUUGCUUGCAGAGCUUGCCAUCACCAGAGGAGGCUAAGCAAUUGGUUGAUAAGCUGAGAGGUCUGUUAGCUGAAGGAGGCUUUGAAUUGAGGCAAUGGGCCAGCAAUAUUCCAGCUGUCAUUAACCAUCUUCCACCUGAAGCAAGAUCGGAUGGGUUUGAACUCUGGCUAGCCCAUGAAAAGACUGAUGUCCAAGAGUCCACAUUGGGCCUUAGCUGGAAUUGCCCAGCAGAUGUUCUGACUUACCGUCACCGGCCCAUCGAUCAUGGGGCUCCAACCAUGAGGAUUAUUUACAAAGUUUUAGCCAGUCAGUAUGACCCCUUAGGAUAUAUCCUCCCGUAUACUACAAGGGCUAAGGUACUGGUCCAACAACUUUGGAACAAGCAGCACAGCUGGGAUGACACUCAACUUCCCCAAGCCUUGGUUCAGAGCUGGAAUGAAUGGGAAAAUCAGCUGCAGUUUCUUCACAAAAUCAGUUUCCCAAGAUCAUAUGUACCAGCUUCAGUAGAUCAGACAAGAUCUAUUAUAGACCUUCACGUGUUCAGUGAUGCUUCAGAGAGCGCAUAUGGAGCAGUCGCCUACCUGCGCACUGAAGAUCAGCAGGGUAAGAUCCAUCUGUCAUUCGUAUUGGCACGUUCUAGAGUAGCACCUAAAAGAGUCCUGUCAAUACCCCGCUUGGAGCUCUGUGCUGCGGUAAUUGGUGCACAGCUAAAAACCCAGUUGCAGAAGGAAUUAACAUUGCCACUUCGCCACACAGUUCUCUGGACAGACUCUACUACAGUGCUGUCUUGGAUUCAGUCAGAGUCUUGCCAUUUCAAGGUUUUCGUCGGUACCAGAGUGGCUGAAAUCCAUGAGCUUACCAACACCACCGCUUGGCGAUACGUGGAUUCAGCUCAAAAUCCAGCGGAUGACCUUACAAGAGGAAAGACUCUAAAAGACCUUGCUAAGCCAAACAGAUGGAGCCAUGGGCCCCCAUUCCUGCUCCUUUCCUCAGAGAACUGGCCAGCAAACCCUACAGAGUGCCCCGAGAUUGACAAGUCUGAGUUCAAGAAAUCCGCAUUCUGUGGAGUUGUAGCUGUAAACGGACAAUUUGGCAGUGAGUACAAGACCUGGACAGAGCUGGUGAAGGCCAUUGCACAGGAGCUACAUGGGGCGGCUGGAGAGUCAGGAGAACCUACAGCAAACACUUACCAAACAGCAGAGACAGUCAUACUCCAGAAGGUGCAAAGUGAGAGUUUUCCUGAAGAAUUACAACGGUUGAGAUCAGGCAAACCUCUUCAACACAAUAGCCGCUUACUUACCUUAACUCCAGAAUAUGACACAUCGACCAAUCUAAUCCGGGUUGGUGGUAGGUUACGACAUGCAGAAACCUUAGAUCCUGCCCUGAAACAUCCAAUCGUACUAGAUUCUAGACAUCCAGCCGUGAAAUUACUGCUUCAAGAUUUUGAUGAAAGACUCUGUCAUCCAGGCCCUGAUCGGGUGUUUGCAGAAAUAGGGAGAAAAUACUGGGUGUUAAGAGGAAGAGCAGCCAUCCGCAUCUUACAGCAUGCCUGUACAGAAUGUCAAAGACUCAGAGCCAAACCUACCUUUCCCAAAAUGGCAGACCUUCCUGUGGCACGUUUACGCCUCUACAAACCAGCCUUCCAUUCCACCGGUAUGGAUUGCUUCGGCCCUUUCCUUGUAAAGAUUGGUCGACGAGUAGAAAAGAGGUGGGGAAUCCUCUACAAGUGUCUUACCACACGAGCCGUACACGUGGACCUGCUUAACAGCUUGGACACAGAUUCAUUUUUGAUGUCGCUACGUAGGUUUAUUGCUCGAAGAGGUUCCCCAGUAGAAUUACUGUCAGACCAAGGAACAAAUUUCCGAGGUGGUGAACGGGAACUGUGCGAGGCAUUCCAGGCCAUGUCACCUGAUCUCCAGCGAAAACUCGCACCACAAAAGAUAGCAUUCCAUUUCAAUCCCCCUGCAGCACCACACUUUGGGGGAGUGUGGGAAAGGGAGAUAAGAUCCAUUAAAAUGGCACUAUCUACAACUAUUGGGGACCAAACAGUACCAGAGGAAGUACUCAGGACUGUUCUGAUCGAAGUAGAGAACAUUCUUAACUCCAAACCCCUCGGGUAUGUGUCUUGCAAUGUGGCUGAUCCUGAUCCAGUAACACCCAACCUUCUUCUCACAGGGCGGCUAGACAACUCCCUACCUACAGUCAUAUACCCUAAAGAAGAGGGAUUGAGUCGUCGCCGUUGGAGACACUCUCAAGUGUUAGCUGACCACUUCUGGUCCUCUUUUAUCCGCCAUUACCUUCCGAACUUGCAAGUCAGACAGAAAUGGCAACAUACAUUCCCUAAUAUGACCACCGGCACAAUAGUCAUGAUAAUGGAUCCUCAUCAGCCCAGAGCCCAUUGGCCAAUUGGAAAGGUAGUCCAGGUGCAUCCCAGUCAAGAUUCGCAAGUGAGAUCAGUGGAUGUCCAAGUUCAAGGGAAAAUUUAUACUAGACCUGUAGCUCGACUUGUGGCUCUACCCCCCAUUCCUGAAGAUGAUACAGAGGAGACCAAUACCCCAACGCAGCAGCAGUGA
ensembl:lncRNA